UUUAAGAAUGGAGGUAAUAUCGAUAAGGCCCAUGGCGGGUGUUGACGUGAUGUGAUUUCUGGCCAGUGCUCUGAAAGUCAAAGUGAAGAAAUUCAAUGAAGGGCAGGUAAAUGGCAGGAGUAACUAUGACUCUCUUAAGGUAGCCAAAUGCAUCAUCAUCUUAUUAGUGACGCACAAGAACGGAUGAAUGUGA
rnacentral:ncRNA from 1 species